rnacentral:lncRNA from 1 species
CUGCUAAUCUCAGUGUCACCAACACAUGCCAUUCUUAUAACCCUCACCUUCCAGGUCAUUUCUUCUGGUGCUUUUGCAUGCAGAAUAUUCCCAAUCACUCUCCGCUCAUACCUUUCUUCACAUUUCUGUUCCCAUUCUCCUCAGGUGCAAAACAUGGAUGCAGGCGACACCUCUGCCUUGGGGCCUGCAGGCACUGCAGGCACUGCAACUGAAGUGCCUGUGCAGCUUGAAGGUGAGCAUGACACCCCCUCCGAGGGACCGGAGCACACAGAAGCAGUUGUCGUUGCGGUCCCUGGCACGCCAGAGGGAGAAGCAGCAACUCCUGCCUUGGACUCAGCAGGCCAGGCUUGGGCUGAYGGAGUUCCUGGCGAGGCACCUCCCCAGGGAGAGGAAGGCGAGUCUGGGCUCCCUGCCCUAAAAAGCACCAAAGUCCCCGCUGCCGAGCUCCCCGUGCAGAAGGGGAUACAAGUCUCUGCCUUCACUCCAGAAGCAACUGGCUCAGAAGCAGCUGCAGCGUCUGGGCAGAGUGUGAGCGAGGGGGCUUGUGUGCAGAUCCCUGCAGAAGCCUCUGGGCCCAUCUUGGAGCCCAAAUGCCAAGAAAGAACCACCAGAGAAGUGCUCUCCCAGAGUGAUGAGACGGAAGGCGGCCCACUACAAGAUGCCAUACUCAAAACUGCAGCCCUCUCCCAGAGUGAAAACACUGAGGAGAACAAAAUGGACGACGCCAUCCUCAGCAUGGACUCCCCAGGCCCUGUCACUGCAGCCCCCACGCAGCUUGAAGGAGAAAACCUAUCUGCCUUAGCAUCCACCGGCAUGGAUACCACGGACAAUGGGAGCAGCGUCCUCCCUGGCAGCAGCCCAAAGAAAUGCGAAACACAAAGCAGCGUAGCUGCAGAAGAGCCGGUGGAAGCAGCACAAGAACUUGUAGAAACCUCAAACUGUGAGGGCGUGCUGAGGGAAGAAACCAAAGGGGAGCGACUGGUGGAAAGAGCCCAAGGCGUAGGUGACUCUGGCACACUGGAAGCUGUGAGCGGUGAUGAACGUCACUCACCUGCUGUGCAGCAAGGGGUUUUACCUGUGCCAGAGGAAGGCCCUGGCUCAGCCUUCCCUGGAGCUGAAAGCUCGGAGGCACCAAAAGUGUCCGUGCCAGCACCAGCUGCUGCCCUUGAAGAACCUGUCGCUGUCGAAACCGUGACACCCACAGACACGGCAGCCAGAACGUUAGAGCCCUUGGCAGCCAGGCGUGGGCAAAGGUCUCCGGAAGAAGUCCCAGUUGCUACUGUUGACCAUUCAGGCCCUGGGACUGCAGAGCCUGACAGUGCAGAAGCACCUCAACCUCAAGCACCUCCUGCUUCUGUGAAGGCAGAGAAGAAGCAAGAGAUGCCCCAGGGAUUUGGACACCCUGAACAAAGUGUUGAUCCUUCGAAGAAAAGUCCUUCUCUUGCCCACCCUCAGUUAGAGAAGGACACUGUUCAGUCUGUGACUCUGGAGUCCCAGAGUACAAAAAUUGUAUUGAAUGUCAUCCAGACGGCUGUUGACAAACUCACAGAUACAGAAGAGGCAGCUGCAUCUGAAUCAAAGCAGCACACAAAGUCUGUAGGAGAAAGCCAACCAGAUAGCAGAAUAUCUGAAUUUCUGGAAACUAUGCAAGGGGAUCAUCACCUUCCUGUCAAAGAGGAAGAAAUACCAAGCAGAGAACAAGAGCUCCAGCAGUCAAGAACAGGGAAACAUGCCACAUUAGCAGAGUCUGCAGAAAUUCAUGCAAGUGUAGAACAAGCAAAAGACAUGCUGUUCAUUUCUCAUGCGUCUGAAGAAGGAAAAAGUGAGAAUUCAUUAGAAAUUAUGAUUAGCCCUCAAGAUGUUUCAAGGGAAAGUCCGAGACUUCCGAAGUCAGCAGUAGGAAUGGGUACUUCAGAAGAUUCAACCAAAGAACCCCUUGACACACACCCACCAAAAUUAAAGGAAAAAGAGGUGGGGCAGAUUCUGGAAAUCCCAGACCAAGAUACAGGUCAGCAAACACAGGUAGAAAAGAAUGAUGAACAACAUCACCUGUCAGUGGAAGAUGUGAAAACACAGACACCGGAGGAUGUUUGUAGCCAUGAAGGCAUGCCUUGUCAACAUCCCCAAAGCCUGAACUCAUUGGCUCCUGAGGCCUCAAAUAUGUGCUAAGCAUCCCUGUGGCAUUUGGAGAGAUGCCAGUCCUAGAGAACAACUGACAAUCCUGUGGCAGAGCCAGGAGCUUUAUUCACCACCCUUUAUUCUUGGAUGUUAACAGCUGCUCUUUUGAAGACUUCACCUUUUUGUCAUUUCUAUUAAAAACAAUGCCUUUAAUGUUGGGUAUAUUCACAUGUGUGUACCAUGCAAAGGUCAUUUGCCUUUGCCCAAAAUAUACCAUUUAGACUGGAGAUGUGCAACUAAGUGAAUGGGCAGACCACUAAAAAUUGUGCCACAGUUAUUGCCAUCCCUUCACUUAAAAUGUCUCAUGUCUGUCCUGUCUCCUUCAAUCCCUUCAUUUAUACCUGAAUCCCCUACCUUCUCUCUGCAGUCUCCCUUAGUGCACUCAUCCUCUGUAGCUGCCUUGGUUUGAUCUACCGAGAGGCCGUAAGUGCUGCUUGGCUGAGGGGGAUGAAGGGAGAGGAGAGCUGAAUGACGAGAACACGUGAGACUUCUGGCUGACUAGUGCAUGUUUCUUUAUCGAACAGCAGGAACUGGAACACGCACAGGUUCUCGAGCAAGAUGCUCAAGAUUGCUGCCUCUCAAUCCCAUUCAGGUAAAAGAAYUGCCCUACAGGCUCUCUCCAUCCUUUGAUUGUAUUUGUGCAGGCCUGAUUUAGUCAGAAGCGACUUCUACAGGGUAGCCUGAGAGGAAACUGAGAAUACCCUUUUUCUGUUGUUCCAGACUUCAGGUUUCCAGAACUGGACUGUAAUGUGUUGAAUAUUUAUAUGUAUGUCUUAAACCCAGUUCUGAUUUUAAUGUAGAGGUAUGAUAUUUCUGUACCAUUUAGACAUGCCGUUAAAGGAAUUUUGUAGUGUAGCCUGGAGAUGAAAUGGAUACCAUUGGAGAGGAAACUGAUAACAUGUACUUUCCUAUUUAUUGUUCCAGGUUUUCCCCUCGUAAAACCCCUCCAAAACUUGGCUGUCAUGCUUUGAAUAUUUAUAUGUAUAUCCUAAACUCAAUUCUGAUUUUAAUGUAGACUGUGAUCUGUUGAAAGACAAAAGGAGAGCCCUAACUUGUGGCAGAUCCACCAACUACCCAUACCAAAAUCAUUUCAACUUGCAGUCUUCCCAGGUUUCUGAGAACCCUCCAGACUCAUUAUUCCUCCUGCUUUCUUGCUUAUUUAGCAACCCCAUCUGUAUCACAGCCCUCAAAUCACACCCCUCUCAUCCAAGAGUCAGCUCAUUUCUGGUCACUUCCUCAUCCAACCCCAAAGCCUUCAUCCCACCGACACCCUCUACCAAACUUUCUUUAAACAAGCUUCCUCCCUUCCCAACCCAUGCCUGAACUGCUUUCCCACCACGGCAUUUCCUGAAAUCCUCCCUACUCAUAGCAAUUCCCUGUCUUCACUGCAGGAGGAGCAGGAAGGAGGUUAAGGGCUUGAUGAUGAAUUGUGCCUGGGACUGCAAAGGGCUUUGGGGUGCUGAAAACUUAAAACUCUUAAUGCAAGGUGGAUGUAAGGUGGGUUGGAUUGAGAACAGCUGUAGAACAGAAUGAGCUGGGGGAUUUAAAGGUAGGCAGAAGGCCCAAGACUGACAGUCCUGGGAUGGCCGCCCCCAGCAAGAGUCAAUCUUCUCUUUUCUUGUUUACAUUAAAAUCAGACAAAGGGGGUACAAGUCACUACUUUCCGCUCUGAUUUCUAAAGUGAAGGUUACAGAUCGCACUUUGUGAAACUGAUGCCCAUCAAGUUGAACAAUAGUUUCACUAUCCUACCUGUAUAGUAAUUUAUUUUAAAAUCAACUUGUAGUGUACAAACGCUCUUGUUAUGGUAGGUGCUUGCCUCUCCUCAAGGCUGCACAUAUAGCAAGCAAUGUGACUGAUUGCACUGGUGUGAUUGCACCAUCUGGUGCUGUCCUGUGUGGAAGCAUCAAAAGAUUUUUCCUUACCUCAGAGCAAAUGAUAUAAAUAUUUAAAGCUGAACAACAUGGUUUCAAACAAUCCAGUCCAUCUUUGUCCAUCGUUAGCGGCAGCUUUCCCCCUUAGCUUUGGGCAAUUCUAACAACCUCUGUUGGUUUCCACAGGUUAAAUUGGCUUGCAAAUUAAUCGUGCUCUUAAUAACACCUCACAAGUGCGAACUUGGCUGAACUUGUACAAAUUGUAUUCCUAUGUACGUUAAGCCAUAUUGCAAUAACUGCAGCAGGUAAAAUGAAAUAACAAUAGCAUGACCUGUGUAAUCCCUAUUCUUAUGUUUGUAGUUCCAAAGCUGUUAAUAAUAUGUAAAGUUAAUUCUUGUCUGAACCUCAUUUAAAUAAAGCUAGCUUUAUCACAAGGUAAAUUGUCUGU